rnacentral:lncRNA from 1 species
GUAUAUCAAAAUUUUAUUUGACCAAUUUUUGGAAAAGAGUGAAUCAUUUACAGUACUUAAUAAAAUUUUAAAAACAGUGAAUCGUUUGCUGUCUUUUUUUAAAAAAAGAAUAUAAUAAAUGAUUCAUUAAUUUUUUUUGGAAAAACUUCAAAACCCCCCCUGUGGUUUCAUAGUUUCUCACUUUGCCCCCCUGUGGUUUAAAGUGUAUCAAUUUGCCCCCCUGUGAUUUUGUUUUUAUCUUUUUGGUAGCUUCUUCGUUAAUAUUUCGUUAAAUUAUAUACAAAAAAACUUCAGAUACACAUAUAGAUUUAUCAAAUAUUCACUUUAGUACCCUUUAAUUUUAACUUUAUUACUGAUUUAAGGAAAAAAAAAAUAAUAAAAUUGAUAAGAAAAAGAGAAAAACAAAACCACAGAGGGGCAAAUUAAUACAUUUUAAACCACAGGGGGGCAAAGUGAGAAACUACGAAACCAUAGGGGGGGUUUUUGAAGUUUUUCUUUUUUUUUCUAUAUAAUUCUAAUGACCCCAUAAAAAUUUCAAAAAAACACAUAUAAUCGUAACAAAAAAAUUUUAAUAACUUAUUCAUAUAAUCCUAACAAUACAAAAAAAAUUUAAUAAUUUACAUACAAUCUUAACAACUCAUAAAAGUUCUCACAACUCGUAAAUCUAUAGACAACAAUAGUAAUUUGAAAACGGUGAAUAAUACACCGCUUUUUAAAGACAAUGAACCAUUCAAUAUUUUUUUUAUUUUUAUCCAAUAUGAUACUAAGUUGGCAAAAAUUGGAUUAGUUAAUCAAAUAAAAUUUUGAAAAAGUCCUUUAGCCAAAUAAAAAUUGUUAUAGAAUUUUUUUUAAAAAA